UGUACAGGGACUAAUUUGAUCAGAUCCCUAUACUAGAGGGAACUAUCAAAAAAUUCACCCAUUCUUUUUAUCUUCUUUCCUUUUCCCCCGUAAGCUACACCAUUGUCAAGUACGCCACGAAAAAUCACACGGCCAAACACACUAGUGAAAACAUUGUAAAAAAUCUCCGCCGUCCAAACAGUUUCAAUCACCCAUCACGUCUCCUUUUCGUGUUGUAAAAAAGUGGAGAAAGUCAUUAUUAUAGGAAUUGGAUAUGAUCAUACUCUGACACCCAAAAAACACUUUUUUUAAUUAUUAUUAAUAAUUUAAUAACACUCCUAUUAUUAGUAAUUUUUAAUUAUAUAAUCAUCAUCGAAACAAAGUCCAAUUUAUAAGCCAUUUUAGCCUCUUCUCCUUCACAGUGUUUCGGGAUUUCUCGUGCUCUGUUUUUUUAUUCUUUGUUGAGAAAGAAGGGAUCCUUGCUUUGCUUUGAUUAUUUUUCAAUGAUGAUGGAGCUUUUUGUAUUGGGGUGUACGGGAGUUGUGGUGUUCCUCCACGGUGCCAAUUUCUUCUUCCAUGUUCUUUCUCAACAUCUCGCUGUUCGAUCUCUCAGUUUCUUGGGAUUUGUUGGAUGGUAAUACCAAAAAGGGAAGAAAACAGAGAUGAUUCAUAUAUCUUUUUGCAAAUUGAGAUGUGGAUCAUGAUGCUUUUGUAAAUAUUUGAUUACAACUUAGAUUUUGGGCAAAUAUAAAAUAUAAUAUGAUAAUUAUGUAUUGGUAGAGCAAAAAUGGAAAGGCUGUUUGCCCUCAAUAUAGAGCAAUAUCAUCUUUCUAUACUGUAUUCUAUCCAUUUAUGUACCCCAUAUUUGAUUAAAUCUUAGAUUUUGAGGGUAUCAAAUAUAAUGAAA